ensembl:lncRNA
GGAGCGAGAGAGAGAGCGAGAGAGAGAGAGAGAGCGAGAGCGAGAGAGAGCGAGAGAGAGUGUAACAAAAAAAGAACGAGGAGAGAAAGAGAGUGAAGGAGUGGAAGAGUGUUGAUAGAUGCAGAAGUGGCAGAAUGUCUGUGUGUCUAAGCAUAUUCACGUUAGGCUUGCUGCGAUAGUCGGUGUUCCCGGUGUUACACGGCGUUCAGCCUUACAUCGAUUACAUCACUUCCCCGGCGCGGCACCGCCCCCACUGUCGCUUUUUAUAGUAAUAAAAAUCAUUCAGUUCAGACAGAGAACGCACGCUACCAUUAAAAACUGAACGCGUCUGCUCAAUUCAGCAUGAGCCGAAUGAGUCCGAGUCGCAGCACGGAUCAGACAUUUAUCACGUGACGAGAGUGAGGCGUUCUGACUGACAGGAAGAUGAGAUUGAUCUGACUGACAGGAAGAGUGAGGCGAUCUGACUGACAGGAAGAGUGAGGCGAUCUGACUGACAGGGAAGAGUGAGGCGAUCUGACUGACAGGAAGAGUGAGGCGAUCUCUGACUGACAAAACGACGGCGGAAGGUUUGGUUUCAAAGCGAAAUGUAAAGCCGCCUAUUUGGCAAUAUUUGCAUUGGUCGUCGUUGUGUUUUUCAUUAAGAACAAUAACGGACCCACCGUCCUCGAAACGCGAAAGCAGAAGUGUAAUGCGCACGACCGCGCAAGCAUUCACAAGAGAUUUAAAAGCGAGGGGCGUAAAAGAGGGCAAAGUGCCAACGAGUCUGCUUGACUCUGCGUUGAUGUCUGCGAUCGCAAACUCCCUAAAUCCUGGACGGGACUGUCUAUCUAACGCGACCGACAGAGCACGCCGACUCUCUCACAGAACGACGACGUCCUGCCCACACCGGGGAGCUGCUGUGUACAGAUCACAACACUAGACCGCAGCUUCGGUUUCGAAUUUGUUCCAGAAAGUUCUGAAAAUUUCGCCGGGCACAUUUUCCAGGAAGAGUUCCUUCGUUCGAUGAAAGACCGUGCCGAACACACGUACGCGUUUCAUAUUUUAACAUAUCGCACUAGAAUUUAAGUUACAAUAUUUAGGUUUCCAUUCUUGCCGAGACCCCAUCGGAGAUACGCCGCCUUUCGUUUUCUGGAGUCCUGCUCAGUUUUGUUCGGGACGUUUUGCCAGAAGUAUGGUUUUAUUGCUUUGAAGCACUGUUUCGGUCGGGCUACUGGAGCAAAAAUGAAUUCAUUCAUUAAUAACGAGCUCGUGUACUAUUACGUCUUUAAUAUUUAUACACACACACACACACACACGGAGUAUUCUCUAUUAGAUUCCUAAAAUAUGCGCCGUAUUCUACAUUAUCCAUACUACACAGGCCAAAGAUAUUACCGUGACAGAUGGGCGAAAUUCAAACCAGGAAUAUAUACGACAUAAAUAGGGUGAGAAAUGAGGAUUUCUAAUGGAUUACAACAACAACAAAAAAAAAAAAGAAAGAAAAGAAAAGGGAAGAGAGAAAGAGGGUUGUUAAGAACGAGUACGGGAUGGAGGGAUGAAGGCACAGCUGCAUGUCCAAAAGCGGCCCAAUUUGAGCUUGUUUACACGGCUUUCUGCAAAUGAAUUCAAGAUGGUGAAGGAGCUCAGGGGGAAAAGAGAGGCAGAGCUAAUCGCGUUCUGAUCAAACACACACAACUGAACAAUUUUCAGCUUCUAAUUAUCCGUAACUCGGAUGAAAUAAAGCCUCGGAAACACGGACGCGUACAGUAGGGCCCGGCUAUCGGCGCUCACUGAAUCCACUCGACUUUAUUCCUUUUCCACCAAAUCAGAACCGAUCUCGUUCACAUCAUUCACAUCCAUUCCUUCCAGUUUAAUUCCAAUAACGAGUUAUGUAUGCUCAGAGCACAGUCUUAAAUGCUUUCCAAAUGACUAACAGCUCACACCGACUCCUCGUCGUGUUCUCGUAUCAAUGAGGGCGCACUUUUUCCGGAUCGAUACGAACGUCAGUGAAGUACGUUUUGUACGAAUUAUUGAUUAUUAAUACAAUAAUAAUAAUUUAAAAAAAGCAAUGAGUCAAAUGUAAAAGCUGCUUAUCGUGUAGACUUAGUGGUCCAAUUUAAUCAUUUACUAUCUCCCAGAGCUAACACGUUUACUACACAUACACAACGAACAUAUUAUUUCAUUACGGUCGCCACUCUAAACUCUUAUCUUCCUAUAACAGCGAGUCUUUCAUUCCACUCAUAUCACACCAACGACACUUUUCGAAUAAAUUAAACACCACUACGUCUUACUUUUGAUUCAUUUACGGCCAUGUUUAAUAACUGUGAGAGAAGUCGUUAUCACCGAUGUUAUCAGAAGUUAAUGAAUCACUUGAAUAUGAAUCACAUGAAGAUGAAUCUCAUGAAGCUGAAUCGCAUGUAAAUGAAUCAUACGUAAAUGAAUCACAUGUAAAUGAACCACAUGAAAAUGUAUCACUUGAAUAGGAAUCUCAUGAAUAUGAAUCUCAUGAAAAUGAAUCACAUGUAAAUGAAUCAUACGCAAAUGAAUCACAUGUAAAUGAACCACACGAAAAUGAAUAAAUAAAUUAAAGACAGAAGUUAGAAGAAUACAAUGCAGCGAAAUAUGACUGAGAAACCGGAAAGCGCAAACGUUGUCUUCUACGUUGUCCUUCCGUUAUAUAAAUGUCAAAUAAACAUCUCCUUACAGAAACCUUUUCCAUAUCACACAUUGUUGUUGUUUUUUUCAUUUAAAAAAAAAUAAAAAAUUUUUAGAUCCCUGUGAAUGAGUUGUCACUACAGAAAAUACGUGUUAGAUGUUAGAACAAGAGCAUUCGUAUAAACCUAUCAUUUGAACUGCAGCUGGAUCUACUUUCAGAGCUGCCGUCAGACGGUCCCUACAGGAUUGCUCCGAGUUUUCUGCGAUCGUUGCGGCCAAAGACGCUUGAAUUUGCAGCGCCUCUUCUUCUCCAAAAUUUGCGAUGCAACUUUUUAAAUCUUUUAUUUUAUUUUUUUUGCGGAAAACUACUUCAAGCGCACGGAAAUGUCUUGCACGGUGAUGUUUGUUGGUAAACGGGACCUUUUAGCUGUUCUCAUGCUCCACGCACGUGAAGAGGCUGAUGACAUCAUCACCUUUGCUUGUAUUUCCUCACUUGUGAGUCGCUUUGGAUAAAAGCGUCUGCUGAACGAAUGAAUGUAAAAUGUUGUAAAAUGUAAAGCGUCUCGGCUCGGAUCUGCUGAACAUCUGCGGUAAUGUCGGACGAUAACACGCUCCUGUGAAUGUUGCGGCGUUUGAAAGCUCUCAAGUUCGGACUUAACUCUUAAGUUGGAGUUUAUACGGCGUUCUAUAAGCGAAUCAUAAUACACACACGUUAUGACUUUUUUUUCUUUUGAACCCCCUUUUCACACCGCGCCUGUCGAAUUCGGUGGAAACGGCUUCCUAUGUGACAUCGCUAUAAUAUUCAAAUACGCAACGUGAAGAAAACUUUAACCUGUGUGUGUGUGUGUGUGUGUGUGCGUGUUGCCAUGGAGACAGGAACUCUGGGUAAUGGGAAAGCUCGUCAGGUUUAACGGGUCUGCAGCACAGAUGGCGUUGAGAAUAACACACAAAAAAAAAAGGGAAAAAAAAAGGAAAAAAGGGGUGCUGUUUAAAUAAUCAGCGCUGCUUUCUUCCUCACACAAUCUAGUGCUCUAACCCUCGUCUUCCUCGCCUCUCUCUCCAUCCCUCACGUUUUCCCUCCGUCCCUCACGAUGUACACGGUAUUAGGGAACUGGCAGGUAGCAAGAGCUCCUCUGUGCUCUUAUGCAAAACUGGGAGCACACACACGCACACACACACACACACACACACACUCUGGCAGCUCAUAAAUGACAGCCUGUAUUAAAGUAAGUGUGUGUGUGUGUGUGUGUGUGUGUGUGCGCAAUGAAUAGCCAGGUAACACACAUGCAAACAAGUGUACUCUCAAGAACCCACUUAAGACCCACUAUGAUGACAGCUGCUGCCAAGAGAGAGAGAGAGAGAGAGUGAGAGAGUGAGAGAGAGUGAGAGAGAGUGAGAGAGAGAGUGAGAGAGAGUGAGAGAGAGAGAGAGUGAGAGAGAGAGAGAGACUUUGUGUCGUAAAGACAUUGUCUCAUGUCUUCACCUUCCUUCUCAGACCCCUUCUUUCAUUAUUUUACUAUUUUGUGUGUAUGUGUGUGAGUGUGUAAGUGUGUGUGAGAGAGUGUGUAUAUGUGUGUGUGAGUGUGUGUGUGUGUGCUUGGAAAAAAUGUUCACUAUUGUUGUCUUAAGAUAUUUAUCUGAUUAUGAUUAUAUUUUUCACCCCCUAGUGGAAAUUCGAGGAAAUUGGUUUGACAUUGUUACAGGACCCACAAGCACACACACACACGCACGCACGGGUACACACACACACACACAUGCACACACACACACACAAUUUCAUGAGACCUGUGAUUAUUUACCAUGACAGAGAUUACUUUAGCUGUAAAGUGACUUCCUGGACUCUCUCUCACUCACUCUCUCUGUGUUGGAGAGAGAGAGAGAGAGAGAGAGAGAGAGAGAGAGAUUUAGCCAGGUUAUUAAUGCCAUAUCCUUAUGGUGGGCCUGGAAGAACGCAUUCAAUUUUCCUACAGCCUGCAUUUCAAAG